GGCGGCGUAGCUCAGUGGUAGAGCGAGGGAAUCAUAACCCCUAGGUCGCAGGUUCAAUCCCUGCCGCCGUCA
rfam:Candidatus Curtissbacteria bacterium RIFCSPLOWO2_01_FTLL_42_50 rifcsplowo2_01_scaffold_7424, whole genome shotgun sequence.